rnacentral:lncRNA from 1 species
GGCAGGCUCCCUGUGGGAAGCCCGAUUCCAGACUCAAUUCCAGGGCCCCAGGAUCACUCCCUGAGCUGAAGGCAGAUGCUCAACUGCUGAGCCACCCAAGCAUCCCCAAAGUAGUUUUCGUAACACUAGUUUAGGUGCGUUUGGAGGUCUCUCAAAAUCAGUUCUUUGCUUUAAAAAAAAGAAGAAAUUAUACUACUGAAGAUAAAAUAUGUGUAUGCAUAGACUCUUAAUUUGGCCAGGAAUCUGUAUAGCCAAUUGGGUAACCAGAGGUACAGUGGUGUAGUCAGGAGGCAGGUGGCGUUGGCAGGUUGCUGUGGAUGUUCACUGCUUAUGCGUUUGGCAUCCAUUUCUCUUCCUCUCCCUGCCAGUCAGCAGCCCCCGUGGCCCUUUGGGAAACCCUGCACUUGUUGCUGCAGGGCUGGGCCCCCUCUUGGAAUUAGCAAGUCUAGGAAACCCCGCCCCCUCCCUCCACCGAUUGGCCAAUCGCUUUCCUCCGGCCACAGGGAUUGGUUCAGAGUGCAAGCACCUGUCCUUUUGGGGGGACCGGGUCCUCUGUGGAAGUGAAGGAGGAAGCACGAAGCCUCCAUUGCCCCGGCUGGCAGCCGCUUUACCAUCAUGAGGGAAGCACACCUGAGGAUAAAGCUGCUAUGUUCCUACUCACGCGGAGCCUGUGUCUCCAGAGCUCAGAGCAACGGGUCAUAUUUGGCCAGGACUGGAGAGAGAAGGGGAGGAAGAAUCCACUGGCAGAUAUGGGACAUAGUGCACAUUUGGGUUUUGGCUUCCACGUUCAAGUGGCUGUGCCAGGAGGACCCAAUUUUCCUGUGGCCAUUGGCCUUCCUGACUCUUAGCUUCCACCUGUGCUUGGGCUCAGGUGGUCGGCCCCCCAGCCCACGGGGACAGAAUCCGUCCUAUCCUUCUCGAUGGAGUGAUGGCUCCUUCCAUCCUUCCUGUCUUCCCCUUCCACUCCUGGGCCCGGCCUCCCGGGAUUGCCCAUCCUGUGCUCCCCACAGGUGUCUUCCAAGAGCCCCCAUCACCACUUGCCUGUCUUUUUGUCAUGUUUUGAGGGUGAAAAGCUGCUCUUUGCUUUCCAAAACAGCACCUCCAUCACUGUGGGUGCUUCCUUCUUCCCCUCCUUUUUUUUUUUUUUUUUUUUGUGGGUGGAGCUGGGUAUUUGUAUUCAGUUACUCAUUCAUUAAACAGCAUUGAGUUAACAAUUAUCGAGUGCCAUCUUGGUGCCAUACACUGUUCAAGGCACUGGGGACAUAGUGAUGACAAGACAGACCAACUCCCUCCCAGCGGAAGUUAUGUUCCAGUUGAGGAGUGAAGACAGACAGUCAAUAAGCAAUAAUAUAAAAUCAAUUACCAGAGUAAGAUCAGAGAGUGGAGCAUGCUACGGAUGAAACUACGGGAUGAGAUGGAGAGAGACUCAGGGUGUUUUGGUGCCUUAAUAUAGAUGCUUCUGGACGGCUCACCGAGGAGGCCACUGAUACUCAGAGGACUAGAGGUGACCGUUCUGAACUAUCUGGGCAGAGUGUUCAAGGCCAAGGGAGCUGCAAGGCCAGUUGUUCCUGGGCAGCAAUGCAUUUGGCAUAUUCCAGGAAUGGAAAACAAGACCACUGCGGCUGGAGGGAUAAACUGGGUGCACAAAACUCACCCAGAGUGGGGAAAAAAAGAAAUGAUAGAAAUAGAAUGCUCUCUGUAGGGUGUGGGCCUCUUGGGAGAAUGUCAUUUGCUUUCACGGCCACGAUUUGCUAAUGCGGAAAGCAGGCACCCUGCCUGCCGUCCACUGACCUACGUGUGCAUUCUGAAGGAGCUACAGGCUGGUUCCCCUCAUUCUCCCCCACCAAUCUCCUCCUGUUUCCAGGGUGUGCCGAGAUCCCUGAGCAGGUGGGACCCAUAGUGUGCUCCAUCCUGCUCUCCCCAGCACUCGGAGAAGCCCGUUUCUUCUCUCCCGUGCAGGAGGGGCAUGGACUGUGGGUGGGGGUGAAGGGGGGAGCGGUUCCUGCUUCAUUGUGUCCAUUGCACCCUCUGGGAGGGUGUCAUGAGGAUGCACUAGGGUGCCACAGCGUCCAAUGCACAGGGCAUGCUCAGCAAAUGUCCCCAUGAGGGGCGGGCAGAAACCAGACAUGGUGCCAUCCCCACCUGGCUUUUGAAUGAAAGUAACACAAUUCUCUCGUGAUGAAAUCUAAUCGCACAGGAAACAAUGGGUAAGUAUGAGGACUUUCAAACCUGGGGCCUGGCUUCUGCUCACACUGAGAAAAUGGAAAAUCCUGUCCUUAUCAGACUCCCAGAAUAGCUCGCUCCUCCCAGCUCAGCUCUCAGGGUUAAUCUCAGCCCCAAGGUGGGCCUCCUCCUUUGGGGCGGUGUGUGUGUGUGUGGGCUCUCUGUGCUUCCUUAUCAGAGGGAGAGCAUUGCUCUGCUCCACUGGCCAACCUCAGUGGCUCCUCCUCUAAGCCAGGGGAUGCACUUGGGCCUGGAAGACCCAAGGAAGGUGAUGCAGGUGUCCAUGGCUAUUUAACACACACACACACACACACACGCACACGCACACGCACACACACACACACGGGCCCUGUGCUGGACUCUGCAUUCUGCUUCCUGGGGGGAAUAAUGCUUUCCAACGCACCCUCUUCUCCUAGCAAGGAGGACCUUGUAGGAUGUGAAGAGUCGAGUGUUUUCUCGCCUCUAGUUGGAUUUUAAGAAGUUAAAAUUAUUUCGGUGGAAAGCAGUUGCCCAGAGCCAGCGUGCUUCUGACAGCCCACUCUGCCCCACUGUUGUCCUUGGGAAGUACCUGCUGGGCACCUCCUCCCUGGCUCAGCUGCCAAGCUGUGCCCCAAGUACCUGUGGUCUUGUCCCGACUACCCUGUUGUGAAUGCUUCUUGCAUGUGGCCAUUUGCCUGUACAGAUGUCAGCUGCCACGUGUGGUCACAUAUUCAAGGCAUUACUUGUCCUGUAGGGAAGUGAGCAGAAAUGAGGUGGAAUGGGUUCAGCCCUUGACAUAGAAUCUGAACAUCCAGUUGGGAGUUGUGGCUGUGCCACUUUCUAGCCACAUUUCUUUGAAAUGGACAGAAGACCUGGUCAACCUCACUGCUGAAUCCAGGCUGUAGUGAACAUCACGGUCCCAUAAUGGCCUUCAUCCUUUCAUCUUCAUGUAAAAAGUCAUUUACACCAAAGAAGAAUUUAGAUCAUCUCAGCUGUGUGUAUCUGGUUUUCUGCAUUUGCAAAACAAAACAAAAACAAAACAAAACAAAACAAAAAACAAGCAAGCCAGCCAGCCUUUUGGGACAUACUUAUACUAAAUAUCCAUUCACCGUUUAUCUGAAAUUCUAAUUGAACAGGGCAUCUUGCAUUUACAUUUGCUAAACCUGGCAACCCUACAGGAGAAGAAAUUCACUGCAUAUUUAUUUAUAUCUAUCAAACUGAAUGAUGGAUGCAUAGACUGGUCCUGGGUCCCCAUUUAGAGGCAGAGUCUGAGUGUUUUCUGGGAGUUCUUAGGAAGACUGUACUAUAUCUGCUGUCGUGCCAAAUCUCGAUGUGAAACCAGAACAAUUCAAUCAGUCCUUCACAGUCUAGAUGUUUGCACCGGGUAGACAAAAUAUCGAGAUGUUUGGCAGGAUCGCUCAAUUGUCCUUUGGAAGUCUGGCAUCCUACAUCUAUAGCUUGUGAGUUUGUCCUGUGCUGGGACAGUAUCUGUAAACUCAGUUCUCUGAUCUCCGAUGACCCCAUGUCCCCUCUCCCCUCCUUUUCCAAUGGGGCCUGGGACAUGCUACUAGAAUUUUCAAGGAUUCGGCUGAGGUCUGGACAUGCUUUGCAUUUUGUUCAUUUUUUUGGCCCACGUCGUGCAUGUAAGUACAGUUGUUUUACUUCAGUCUGCUGAUAAAGCUCAGACUUCUGCAGACUCCUUUUUUCUUCAUUCCUAUUAUGCAGGAAACCCAGCAAGAGAGUCAAGAUUUUUUGUUCUCCCCCAGAGCACAAUGAACUGACAUAAAUCCUGUGCAUGUAAUAACACUCUGACCCCGUUAAGAAGACGAAUGGGGAACAGUGAC